rnacentral:rRNA from 1 species
CUACGGGUCGCUGCAGUAAGGAAUAUUGCACAAUGGGCGCAAGCCUGAUGCAGCCAUGCCGCGUGUAUGAAGAAGGCCUUCGGGUUGUAAAGUACUUUCAGCGGGGAGGAAGGGAGUAAAGUUAAUACCUUUGCUCAUUGACGUUACCCGCAGAAGAAGCACCGGCUAACUCCGUGCCAGCAGCCGCGGUAAUACGGAGGGUGCAAGCGUUAAUCGGAAUUACUGGGCGUAAAGCGCACGCAGGCGGUUUGUUAAGUCAGAUGUGAAAUCCCCGGGCUCAACCUGGGAACUGCAUCUGAUACUGGCAAGCUUGAGUCUCGUAGAGGGGGGUAGAAUUCCAGGUGUAGCGGUGAAAUGCGUAGAGAUCUGGAGGAAUACCGGUGGCGAAGGCGGCCCCCUGGACGAAGACUGACGCUCAGGUGCGAAAGCGUGGGGAGCAAACAGGAUUAGAUACCCGGGUAGUC